rnacentral:tRNA from 1 species
GCCCGUCUAGCUCAGUCGGUAGAGCGCAAGGCUCUUAACCUUGUGGUCUUGGGUUUAAGCCUCAGGGUGGGCG